rnacentral:rRNA from 1 species
GUCUUAAUGAAAUUAAUAUUAAGUCAAUCUGCCCAAUGAUUAUAAAGAUUUAAUGGCUGCAGUAUACCUGACUGUACAAAGGUAGCAUAAUCAAUUGUUUUUUAAUUAAAAACUAGUAUGAAAGAAUUAAUGAGAUAUAUACUGUCUCAUAUAUAUUAAAUGAAUUUAAAAAUUUGGUAAAAAUGCUAAAAUUAUUUUAUGGGACGAUAAGACCUUAUAGAAUUUUAUAUUGAAAAUUUAAUUAAAGAAAAUUAAUUAAAUUUAUUAAUAUUUAAUUGGGAGGAUUAGUAAAUUAUAAAAACUUUAUUUUAAAAUUAAACUUAGAUUAAAGGAUUUUUUAGAUCUUGUAUUAUAAAUAAAAAGAAUAAAUUACCUUAGGGAUAACAGCGUAAUAUCUUUUAGAAGAUCAAAUUUAAAAAGAUGAUUGCGACCUCGAUGUUGAAUUAAGAUUAAUUUUAAAUGCAGGAGUUUAAAAAUUAAGUCUGUUCGACUUUUAAAAUCUUACAUGAUUUGAGUUCAAAUCGACGUGAGU